GCCAGCAUGGCACAGUGAUUUGAGUAUUUGACUACAAUUUUGGAGACCAGGGUUUGAAUCCCUGCUCAGCCA